UGAUGUGACUGCCAGGGGAGUGUUCUCCAUAAAGACCCCCAGGUGCUGACUUGUGUUUACAGGUGAGGAGAAUUCCAGGGCUGUGUUUGCUCUGGAGAUCCCAGCUGAUAUACCACUAGUGCAGAUCCACACACAGAUAUGCUUAUUCUUCAACAAACAAAAUGCAUCCUGGCUUCCUAGGUUUCUCCCUCCCAUUGAGUAUGUUGUAGAUCUUGAAUCCAUCCCCUCAAAGUGCAGUGCUACACCGAAAAGUGACUAUGUACACCUGGCCCUAAAUUCAGCAGCUCUGCUCCCUGUGUGUAUUCAGCCUGAGAACUACUGGCUCUAGUGACAAGUGUAUUUUUGGACAGCUUUCUGGUGCCUGUUUGCCCUGCAGAGCCAACACAGCUCAGGGAGAGGAAGCUGUGGGACAUUAACAGAAUUGUUUACGAGGUUCCAGUCUGUGACACCCGUUCACACCCAUUGCCCACAUGGAGUUUCACAAGUAUCACAGAGGCCAUUGAUUGCCCUGCAGAAUCCUUGUUACUGGUGAUGACAUGGGAGAAGGCUAGAGGCUAGUUUGACUUUCAGGCCAGGUCUACGCUUUGCCAGUACAGCCCUGUUGGUCGGGGUGUGAUCCCUGAUCAAGACAGCUGUGCUAGCAAAAGCCACUAGUGUACCAGCAAAUGUGUUCUCUUACUGGUAUAGCUUGUUUCACAGGUGGGGGUGGUUUUGCAAUACCAGUACUAAGCUAUAGCUACCUCCAGACUAGGAGCACUUUGUGGCUGUAGUGUACUGGUCUUCCUAUACUGGUGAAGCACUCCUAGCAUAGACACAGCCUCAGGCUUGUCUAUGUUACAAAACUAUACUGCAUUUGAACAAGGUUAUGAAGAACCUGAAUUAGCUACAGUGAUGCUGAAACCAAUUUACCAUGAUCUGAACUGAUUACAAACUGGUGGUUAGCACAGUGUCAGCUGACUUGAUUAUCUCUUCCUGGAUUCUCAUGUGAUUUUGUAGUGUGGGCAAACCCUCAGAGCCCAGGCUGAGUGUGCAGGGCUGGUGGUAAGAAAAAUCCCCCUUUAAUUGUAAAUGUAGCACUAGAUACAAACACCACUGAAAGACCAUAGACACGGGAUCCUAUUAUUCUGUUUUUACUGAACUGCCCUCUAAUCAUGUUUGUUAAUCUUUUCUGAGCACCUUUAUUCAAGCAAUGCCCAGAAAAUUGAACACAGUACUCUGUGUGACCUCACCACAGCUGUGCAUAAUCUCACCCCUUUGCUCUGAGAUGGCCUCCUUCUGCCUAUGUAACCUAACAUUUUUUCCUAACUGUACAUGCAGCACUUACUGUAUAACCCUGGGCAAGUCA